rnacentral:rRNA from 1 species
UACGAAGGGGGCUAGCGUUGCUCGGAAUCACUGGGCGUAAAGGGUGCGUAGGCGGGUCUUUAAGUCAGGGGUGAAAUCCUGGAGCUCAACUCCAGAACUGCCUUUGAUACUGAAGAUCUUGAGUUCGGGAGAGGUGAGUGGAACUGCGAGUGUAGAGGUGAAAUUCGUAGAUAUCGCAAGAACACCAGUGGCGAAGGCGGCUCACUGGCCCCGAUACUGACGCUGAGGCACGAAAGCGUGGGGAGCAAACAGGG